CGCUCGGCCCGGGCCGCGCCGCCCGCCCCGGGUGCCUCCCGGUGAAAGGCGGCCAUGGGUGGCCUCGAGCUGGCACUGGGGUCCUGGGUGUCCAUGUGGGGCCCAGCGACCCCACCCGCACCGUGCGGAGGAGGCCGGAACACGGGGCUCCACCGGUUGUGUCUCCUGGGUUACAUGGGACGAGCGGAAGUCACUGACAGCGAUCUGACCCCCGUGGGGAGCAGCUGGACUCCAUGAUGGGUAGGAUGUGCUCUCCUCAGCAGCCAAGACCCCUCGGUGCCGCAGGCCUUGCCUGAGAAGGUGAGAGUGGUGGGAACCAAGACUGGAAGCACGAGGACCAAAGAAUGCACAAGAAGCUGCCAAGAACAGCACCUGAUGUGUGUUGGACCAGCAGGGAGAAGCAAGAGCCUCUCAACUUCGAACAGCUCAACGGCAGCGAGCUCUGGCUGGGCCAAAUCCAGGGCCCAGAGGAUUCCUGGUCACCCUGGGGAGUGCAAGAACAAACUCUUUGUUUCUAGCAUGAGUAUCUGUCAGGUUUGUAUCACCUUUUGUGCUCUUCAAUGUUUAAUGCAUUAAAAAAGGUGAAGUCA